CAUAGGUUAAUGAGGCGAACCGGGGGAACUGAAACAUCUAAGUACCCCGAGGAAAAGAAAUCAACCGAGAUUCCCCCAGUAGCGGCGAGCGAACGGGGAGGAGCCCAGAGCCUGAAUCAGUGUGUGUGUUAGUGGAAGCGUCUGGAAAGGCGCGCGAUACAGGGUGACAGCCCCGUACACAAAAAUGCACAUACUGUGAGCUCGAUGAGUAGGGCGGGACACGUGGUAUCCUGUCUGAAUAUGGGGGGACCAUCCUCCAAGGCUAAAUACUCCUGACUGACCGAUAGUGAACCAGUACCGUGAGGGAAAGGCGAAAAGAACCCCGGCGAGGGGAGUGAAAAAGAACCUGAAACCGUGUACGUACAAGCAGUGGGAGCCUCUUAAUGGGGUGACUGCGUACCUUUUGUAUAAUGGGUCAGCGACUUAUAUUCUGUAGCAAGGUUAACCGAAUAGGGGAGCCGAAGGGAAACCGAGUCUUAACUGGGCGUUAAGUUGCAGGGUAUAGACCCGAAACCCGGUGAUCUAGCCAUGGGCAGGUUGAAGGUUGGGUAACACUAACUGGAGGACCGAACCGACUAAUGUUGAAAAAUUAGCGGAUGACUUGUGGCUGGGGGUGAAAGGCCAAUCAAACCGGGAGAUAGCUGGUUCUCCCCGAAAGCUAUUUAGGUAGCGCCUCGUGAAUUCAUCUCCGGGGGUAGAGCACUGUUUCGGCAAGGGGGUCAUCCCGACUUACCAACCCGAUGCAAACUGCGAAUACCGGAGAAUGUUAUCACGGGAGACACACGGCGGGUGCUAACGUCCGUCGUGAAGAGGGAAACAACCCAGACCGCCAGCUAAGGUCCCAAAGUCAUGGUUAAGUGGGAAACGAUGUGGGAAGGCCCAGACAGCCAGGAUGUUGGCUUAGAAGCAGCCAUCAUUUAAAGAAAGCGUAAUAGCUCACUGGUCGAGUCGGCCUGCGCGGAAGAUGUAACGGGGCUAAACCAUGCACCGAAGCUGCGGCAGCGACACUAUGUGUUGUUGGGUAGGGGAGCGUUCUGUAAGCCUGUGAAGGUGGCCUGUGAGGGUUGCUGGAGGUAUCAGAAGUGCGAAUGCUGACAUAAGUAACGAUAAAGCGGGUGAAAAGCCCGCUCGCCGGAAGACCAAGGGUUCCUGUCCAACGUUAAUCGGGGCAGGGUGAGUCGACCCCUAAGGCGAGGCCGAAAGGCGUAGUCGAUGGGAAACAGGUUAAUAUUCCUGUACUUGGUGUUACUGCGAAGGGGGGACGGAGAAGGCUAUGUUGGCCGGGCGACGGUUGUCCCGGUUUAAGCGUGUAGGCUGGUUUUCCAGGCAAAUCCGGAAAAUCAAGGCUGAGGCGUGAUGACGAGGCACUACGGUGCUGAAGCGACAAAUGCCCUGCUUCCAGGAAAAGCCUCUAAGCAUCAGGUAACAUUAAAUCGUACCCCAAACCGACACAGGUGGUCAGGUAGAGAAUACCAAGGCGCUUGAGAGAACUCGGGUGAAGGAACUAGGCAAAAUGGUGCCGUAACUUCGGGAGAAGGCACGCUGAUAUGUAGGUGAAGCGACUUGCUCGUGGAGCUGAAAUCAGUCGAAGAUACCAGCUGGCUGCAACUGUUUAUUAAAAACACAGCACUGUGCAAACACGAAAGUGGACGUAUACGGUGUGACGCCUGCCCGGUGCCGGAAGGUUAAUUGAUGGGGUUAGCGGCAACGCGAAGCUCUUGAUCGAAGCCCCGGUAAACGGCGGCCGUAACUAUAACGGUCCUAAGGUAGCGAAAUUCCUUGUCGGGUAAGUUCCGACCUGCACGAAUGGCGUAAUGAUGGCCAGGCUGUCUCCACCCGAGACUCAGUGAAAUUGAACUCGCUGUGAAGAUGCAGUGUACCCGCGGCAAGACGGAAAGACCCCGUGAACCUUUACUAUAGCUUGACACUGAACAUUGAGCCUUGAUGUGUAGGAUAGGUGGGAGGCUUUGAAGUGUGGACGCCAGUCUGCAUGGAGCCGACCUUGAAAUACCACCCUUUAAUGUUUGAUGUUCUAACGUGGGCCCGUAAUCCGGGUUGCGGACAGUGUCUGGUGGGUAGUUUGACUGGGGCGGUCUCCUCCUAAAGAGUAACGGAGGAGCACGAAGGUUGGCUAAUCCUGGUCGGACAUCAGGAGGUUAGUGCAAUGGCAUAAGCCAGCUUGACUGCGAGCGUGACGGCGCGAGCAGGUGCGAAAGCAGGUCAUAGUGAUCCGGUGGUUCUGAAUGGAAGGGCCAUCGCUCAACGGAUAAAAGGUACUCCGGGGAUAACAGGCUGAUACCGCCCAAGAGUUCAUAUCGACGGCGGUGUUUGGCACCUCGAUGUCGGCUCAUCACAUCCUGGGGCUGAAGUAGGUCCCAAGGGUAUGGCUGUUCGCCAUUUAAAGUGGUACGCGAGCUGGGUUUAGAACGUCGUGAGACAGUUCGGUCCCUAUCUGCCGUGGGCGCUGGAGAACUGAGGGGGGCUGCUCCUAGUACGAGAGGACCGGAGUGGACGCAUCACUGGUGUUCGGGUUGUCAUGCCAAUGGCACUGCCCGGUAGCUAAAUGCGGAAGAGAUAAGUGCUGAAAGCAUCUAAGCACGAAACUUG
rnacentral:rRNA from 1 species